AUUGAACGCUGGCGGCAGGCCUAACACAUGCAAGUCGAGCGGAUGAAGGGAGCUUGCUCCUGGAUUCAGCGGCGGACGGGUGAGUAAUGCCUAGGAAUCUGCCUGGUAGUGGGGGAUAACGUCCGGAAACGGGCGCUAAUACCGCAUACGUCCUGAGGGAGAAAGUGGGGGAUCUUCGGACCUCACGCUAUCAGAUGAGCCUAGGUCGGAUUAGCUAGUUGGUGGGGUAAAGGCCUACCAAGGCGACGAUCCGUAACUGGUCUGAGAGGAUGAUCAGUCAAACGGGAACUGGGACACGGUCCGGACCCCUAGGGGAGGCGGCAGUGGGGAAUAUGGAACAAUGGGCGAAAGCCUGAUCCAGCCAUGCGGCGUGUGUGAAGAGGGUCUUCGGAUUGUAAAGCACUUUAAGUGGGAGGAAGGGCAGUAAGUUAAUACCUUGCUGUUUUGACGUUACCAACAGAAUAAGCACCGGCCAACUUCGUG
rnacentral:rRNA from 1 species